AUAAAGUGUGAUAUCACAAAAUUUGUAUCAACAUGUGGGGUGUGUAAGCAGGCUAAGACAGAACACAUCAGAUCACCUGGUUUGCUUGAGCCGUUAGCUGUUCCACGUCAUCCAUGGCACACAGUGACUUUGGACUUUAUCGGUGGAUUACCAGCUUCUCGGGGGUAUACUGGCAUCAUGGUGGUAGUUGACAAACUUACCAGGUAUGCUCAUUUUGUGCCUCUAACGCAUCCCUUCACAGAAAUCCAAGUGGCCUCUGCUUAUAUGACAAAUGUGUACAAAUAUCAUGGAUUGUCGUAUGCUUUGGUCUCGAAUCGUGACAAAAUCUUUACAAGCACCUUGUGAAGGGAGCUAUUUUAUCUGGCAGGAACCGAACUGCGCAUGUCAUCAGCGUAUCAUCCUCAGACUGAUGGCACGACGGAACGAGCGAAUCAAUGCUUGGAGUCUUACCUCCGCUGUUUUUCAUGCUUGCCCUCACCAUUGGUUCCAAUGGCUUCAUUUGGUAGAGUUCUGGUAUAAUACAACAUACCACUCACUCUCGGUGCGUCACCAUUUGAAACUCUGUAUGGGCAUCCUCCCUGUAAUUUUGGUAUCAUGGAUGCGGCAACAACGGUUUCUUCAGAUCUGCAAGACUAGAUGUACGAGCGCUCACUCAUGCUAGCUCUGCUCAAACAACAUCUGGAGCGUGCUCGCCAGCAUAUGAAAGAUCAAGCAGAUAAGCACCGAUCGGAGAGAUCCUUUGAAGUGGGAGAUUGGGUGUUUGUCAAACUUCAGUCAUAUGUGCAGGGCUCGGUGGCGCAACGGGCCAAUCAUAAACUUUCUUUUCGUUACUUUGGUCCUUUUCAGGUGAAGGCUCGUGUGGGCAGGGUGGCCUAUCGUCUCCUGUUGCCAACCACGACUAAGGUGCAUCCGGUCUUCCAUGUGAUUCUUCUUCGCGGAGCUCUUCCUCCGUCCAUGGAAGUGACGCUGGAGCUGCCAACACCCCCAGCUGUGCAUGUCAUGCCCUUUAUUCCAAAGCAAGUCUUGGCGUGUAGGUUCAUCACCAGAAGAGCGGCCAAGAUCCCUCAAGUUCUAAUCAAGUUGGCAUCGCAACCAAGCUCUCUGGCAACAUGGGAGGAUUACUUUGAGCUACAGAGUCGGUUUCCAGGAGCAGCGGCUUAG
rnacentral:rRNA from 1 species